ACUGGGUGGCCGAUGUAGAGCACCACUUUUGUGUCUGCUCCCGCCCACCAUCCUCCCCACACACACAUCACCCAUCAACCAGCAAAGUCACAAUCCUGUUAACCAGCGGGACAGCCGGCAGCGUUGGGAGCCUCGGCGUUCCUCAAGACAGGAUGGGCCUGCUACUACUGCUCACCUCCGCGCUCCUGUCCAGCUACUUCCAUCCUGGCAGUGUGGUGAAGGCCCAGCGCGUUGUCAUAUUAAAAGACAUCAGCCUGUCCAUGGAGCCUAGUCAUGUCGUAUCCCGCAACACCAAUGUGACACUGAGAUGCCGGGCCAACGUCGUCAGCGUCGAGAAGGCACUGAGCCGUGAGUACACAAUAUACAAGGACGGCAACGCAAUCUACAACAAGACCUCCAGCACCUCGGAGGACCUCCUGUACCACCUGUCCGAGGUCAGAGUCUCCGACAACGGCAAAUACUCCUGCAGGAUCAGCGCUGAGGGGCAACAAGCGACGAGCAGUGCCAAGAAACUCGAAGUCACAGGGCUGUCAAAACCAGUUCUCCACGUUAACGAGCGUGUGGUCGCUGAAGGGAAGGAGAUAACAGCCACAUGCACGGCGCACGGCGAGAGGGGCUCCAUCUUCUUCUACUUCUACGAGAACGCCACAGAGAUCGAGGAGAGACAAGUCAACUCUAACCAGAUAGAGGUCAAGCUACGCUUAAGCAGCGUCGGCACCCACAGGAUUCACUGUGCCUACGCUGUCUUCGUAAGGCCAGAUUCCUUUAAGUCUGAAGAAAGCAACGCUGUCUCGGUCACAGUCGAAGAGCUCCACAUCGCACCCGUUUUGGAGAUCUUCCCCCAUUCCAAGAUCUACGAGGGAGACGAGCUCUUCGUCUCGUGCAGCGUGAAGGGCCCUCCGCCCACCGACAAAAUGCAUCUCUAUCUAAGCCGAGGGAACCAGCUCCUCGACAGGGGCAACACCACAGUCAGCCACCGCGGCAUCGCCCUGGCGAAGGACAUCGGGGACUUUGAGUGCAGAUUAGAGAUCGGAAGUGUCGUGAAAAAUGACCAAGGGACGAUAUCAGUGACUGAGCUGUUUUCGGUUCCCACGCUCACUGUAUCUCCUGCGGAAGUCUUUCAAAGGGAAGAUAUUACUUUGACCUGUAAAAGUGAGAGCUCUGCUUCUGAGAGACUCGGCCAGGAGGGGUUGACUUAUGCUCUUGAACCACCCAGAAGCCAACUGGUCCCCAAAGGCAUUGGAAUAUUUUCUGGCAAAUCCCCGUCGAACGAUUUCAACUACACCUGCGUUGCUCGGGCCAAGAACAUCGUGAAGCACAGUGAAGUCCUGACGGUGCGUCCUAAAGUUCCUGUCACCACCCCAAAGAUCUCGGUGGUGGGCAGAGCCGUCCUGGGGAGGCGUUUCACCAUCCUCUGCCAGUCGGACAUAGGCAGCUUGCCAAUAAACUACACCCUGCUGAAGGGUUACGACCAACUGAACACCGAAGCUGUCACGCAGCCCUUUCAACAAGCUCUCUUCACAGUCAGCGUCGACAGGCCCGACGAAAUAAGCAAGUUCACGUGCCGGGCAAAGAACAGCCACAGGGAAGCGCUGCUCAGCACAAGACUCAACGCUACCGUCAUAGAGCCCCUGAGCCACCCGAUCCUCACGGUCAUCCCCGGCCUGUCGGAGAUAUCGGAGGAGGACAAUCUCCACCUCAUAUGUGGCGUUCGAGGCACCCCGCCGGUCACCUUUAAGUGGUACCGCGUUGGCACCGAGCUGCCUUUGUCCACCACCACAUCCGACAAGAACAACACGCACUACCAGGUGCACGGUUUGUCCAAAGAGCACAGCGGCGUGUACUACUGCGAGGCUCGCAACCACGCCAACAACGUUGUCCGCAGUGAGCACGUCACCAUAGAGGUGCGCAUGGCGUUGUGGAAAAAACUGAUGAUCGGCGGUUUCUGUCUUCUGGUGCUGUUUUUGUUGGUGGUUGUGUCUGUGCUGUGCUUCAGAUCCAAGAGAGGUAGAGAGACCUACAGUACUUCAGCCGCUCAGCCUGCUUUCGUCUAACCGUGUCUGAAAACCAACCGUCCUUCACCUACUUCCUCCUGCUCCUCUUCUCACAUGUCCCCUCUUAUUGUAGGUAAAAGAGAAGCAGCUGCUGAAUUGUCAGUGUGAGUUGGCUCGACUACUUGAUUCCUCUGAAUGUGACAGAUACUGUAGAAGUUAUUGACAGUGUAGACGAGGGUGUAUCAGUGGUAUGUUUCCUUUUAUUUUUAGCCUUCACAGAACCAUACUGGUUGUUUUGUAACUCUGGCAAAUAGUCACUUAACUCUCCAUUAAACCAGAUUUGUUUUAUAAUUAGUAGGCAUUAAACAAACAAGAUUUAACAUGUCAGAAGUAUAGGUGCUAAAUUGCAGAUUAUGUCAUUUUAGUCUUUUGUUGAAGCAAAAAGCUUAUUUAUUAUUAUAUAAUAGAUGAAAAAUAUAUUAAUCAAUUAAUCAAAUGCAUUAAAACAGCAGUUAAAUCAAUCAAUAAGUUGUUAAAAGGUAAAUUGGUCGGUGAAACAAUUAAUUAAAUUCCUAAAAAUGGCAGAAAAAAAAUCUUGUAACAAAAACACCAUUCUUAAUUUCCAGUAUACACUAAAAAUAUAGUUAAACAAAUUUUAUUCUAUUUCUGCCAAAAAAAAACUAAAUUAAACCUUUAAAUAGUUUUGUUGCACAUCAUUUUGUGCCACCACAACACAAAGUGCUGAUAAGAUGUCAUAGUGAUUUGAAGCACAUCACUUUGAUUUUGUGCAAAAUGUAUUUAAAAUACUGGACAACGAUAGUGUGACAGUGCACAUAAGAGAAGUGAAACUCGUGAUGUUAUCAGAGGUGCUUUGAUAUUGAAAUAGAAUUAACUGUAAAUGCAUGUUUAACGGUAGAGAGAUAUGUUCUGUAUUAAAGAUAAAAUAAUCCUCAUAAAAGUCCACGAAAACAUUGAAAAAAAAAUGUUUAACUCAAAAACUUAAAGGCCACCAGUAUGGUUCUUGAACUGCAUCAUUAGUUUGUUUCAGAAUUAAUUGCACAUACUUUUCAUGCUGUAGAUUAUUUUUAUUUAUUCGAUUUUUGUCCGUGCUGCAGACUUGACUUUAUUUUUACCAUUUCUCAGAAAGCCUGCGAGCCCUAAAUCAGAUGACUCGUUAACAGUGAAUCUAACCCACGACACAGAGGUUUAUAACGCAGCCACAGCGUGAUUCCUGCUGUAGCAUCCAAAUCCAUUCCCACCCCGAGAUGUUCUCACAUGCAUGCAGGACCCAUGUUGUGGUGGACCUGGCUACCACUGUUUACCAAUGUUGCUUUCCAGUUGAUGUCCUGUUAAAGUUAAUGUGCAUGAGUUGCGUAUUUGUUUUGAGCUCAUUGUCUUUGUCGGUCUCUGACCUUCAUUUUUGCAUGCACAUUGUGUGUUGUGUCUUAAGUGUGUAUUUAAAGAGGCAGGAAAAGCAGGAUUGUUGUUAGAAGAACCUACUUAAGUAGUUAUAUCUCAUUACAUGAGAUUCUUAAUUGUUGCAAACUAUUUAGGGCACCAAUUAUCAUCUUCUUCCAGGCGCAGCACCAAUCUAUGAUGGCAUGGAGGGGAGAGGGACCAAUGGGGUGCGAUAUAGCGUGGCGUCGCUUCCCGUUGACAUCAGCAACAGGAGCAGCUACAGUAUCCCAGCCACAGUGUAGAGAUGCCCCCAAAACGGGCGGGACAUGUUUUUUACUUUCAAAGCAAAAGGAAGUUGCAUGAAAGUACGUUUAGAGCAAGAAUGGAAAAUAACGCAAGAGGCAGUAAUGUCAAGGAUUUGGACACAUUUUCUUCAGUGAUGGCUUUUCUGAGCAUAAAAAGAGGGUCGUUUUAUGAAGUGAUAUAAACCAGGACCUGCUGCUCCCUGUCCCCUCCACCUGCAAUCCAGAUGCAUUUAAUUUUACACUCACCGUGAUAGUCUUUGUCUUUUGUUUCCUCAAUCAUGAAGUCCGUGUGAUUUUGUGUCCUUUGUUGUCCUCCUCUGUUUGUCUCAUGUGCAUGUCUACAUGGCCUUGAUUGAUCUGUAUAUACAUUUUAUCACCAUCAAAGGAAACAUGUGUAUAUAUUUGUGGUCGAUCCCCCGACUGGUUGGAAGAGACACUUGUAGAAUAAAGUCGAUGGUUUUAUUUA